CUGGAAUGAUGCAUUUUAGCCAAAUCAGACACUGAUAUGCUCCUGAAGGCAUUUUCUGUUAAGUUUGUACCAAUUGUUAUUGCAAAGACACUUUAGUGAGAUCUUCUGUGAUGCACUGGUUCAACCUUUAAUUGAGGCACCUUCUGUAGAAGUGCAUCUUUGGUGAUAAUGUAGAGAGAUUGGUUGCUUGCUGACCAGA